rnacentral:tRNA from 1 species
CGAUUUAGUUUAAUGGUAAAACAAAUCCCUCGUAAUGAUUAGACGUAGGUUCGAUUCCUACACUCGGC